rnacentral:rRNA from 1 species
GACGAACGCUGGCGGCGUGCUUAACACAUGCAAGUCGAACGGAAAGGCCCUGCUUUUGUGGGGUGCUCGAGUGGCGAACGGGUGAGUAACACGUGAGUAACCUGCCCUUGACUUUGGGAUAACUUCAGGAAACUGGGGCUAAUACCGGAUAGGAGCUCCUGCUGCAUGGUGGGGGUUGGAAAGUUUCGGCGGUUGGGGAUGGACUCGCGGCUUAUCAGCUUGUUGGUGGGGUAGUGGCUUACCAAGGCUUUGACGGGUAGCCGGCCUGAGAGGGUGACCGGCCACAUUGGGACUGAGAGAAGGCCCAGACUCCUACGGGGGGCAGCAGUGGGGAAUAUUGCACAAUGGGCGGAAGCCUGAUGCAGCAACUCCGCGUGCGGGAUGACGGCCUUCGGGUUGUAAACCGCUUUCGCCUGUGACGAAGCGUGAGUGACGGUAAUGGGUAAAGAAGCACCGGCUAACUACGUG